UACGUAGGGUGCGAGCGUUGUCCGGAAUUACUGGGCGUAAAGAGCUCGUAGGUGGUUUGUCGCGUUGUCCGUGAAAACUCACAACUCAAUUGUGGGCGUGCGGGCGAUACGGGCAGACUGGAGUACUGCAGGGGAGACUGGAAUUCCUGGUGUAGCGGUGAAAUGCGCAGAUAUCAGGAGGAACACCGGUGGCGAAGGCGGGUCUCUGGGCCGAUACUGACGCUGAGGAGCGAAAGCGUGGGGGAGCAAACAGG
rnacentral:rRNA from 1 species